rnacentral:rRNA from 1 species
GACGAACGCUGGCGGCGUGCUUAACACAUGCAAGUCGAACGGAAAGGCCCUGCUUUUGUGGGGUGCUCGAGUGGCGAACGGGUGAGUAACACGUGAGUAACCUGCCCUUGACUUUGGGAUAACUUCAGGAAACUGGGGCUAAUACCGGAUAGGAGCUCCUGCUGCAUGGUGGGGGUUGGAAAGUUUCGGCGGUUGGGGAUGGACUCGCGGCUUAUCAGCUUGUUGGUGGGGUAGUGGCUUACCAAGGCUUUGACGGGUAGCCGGCCUGAGAGGGUGACCGGCCACAUUGGGACUGAGAUACGGCCCAGACUCCUACGGGAGGCAGCAGUGGGGAAUAUUGCACAAUGGGCGGAAGCCUGAUGCAGCAACGCCGCGUGCGGGAUGACGGCCUUCGGGUUGUAAACCGCUUUCGCCCGUGACGAAGCGUGAGUGACGGUAAUGGGUGAAGAAGCACCGGCUAACUACGUG